rnacentral:lncRNA from 1 species
CAGUACACUCACCACAGCCGCUGGCCCGGAUGCUAAGCCCCUCAUUGCCGGGGCGGCAGAGCGGGCCGGCUGCUCCCAGUACGCUGCGUGCCAAAACCACGCCCACCCGGAACUCCAGCUGGCCCGCAAGCGCCGCGCGCAGCCCGGGUUCCCGCUCCCGCUUCUCCCACCACACUUCCCUGCAAGCUGAGAGAAGCGGCUCUGGCCUUGGGCAGCCCAGAAAGGGGCUCCCUCAGUGCAGCGGUGGGCUGAAGGGCUCCUCAAGUGCCGCCAAAGUGGGAGCCCAGGCAGAGGAGGCGCCCAGAGCGAGCGAGGGCUGUGAGGACUGCCAGCACGCUGUCACCUCUCAGAACUAUUUACUCAGAAUGAGUGAAGAGACAGUCUUGCUCUGUUGCCCAGGCCGGAGUGGAGUGGCACAGUCAUAAUUCCCUGUACCCUUGAAAUCCUGAGCUCAAGCCAUCUCCAUACCUUAGCCUCCCAAGUGGCUACUACAGGACUGACUGAUAGUAUUUUCCUUUGGAAGAUCCUUUUAUAUUCUGUCUCUAUGAAAGAAGUGUUUUCAAUGAAAUAAGAUAUUUAUUCCAAAUCAAUCCUGCACCAGAAGCUCCAUUUCUGCAUUCGCUUCCAGAAAACACAGCAGCCGUAUGUGAAUUUGGGAGUGGUCCCACGAACCGGUUAUGAGACGAGGUUUUGGAGCUGGAUCACACCUGACACAACUGGCAUUGAAAACCUUAUUACCAAGAGCCUCUGGCACAAGGCUGCUAUGAAGAAAUACCCAAGACUGGGUACUUUCUCAACUUUCAAAUUGAGCUGUUCAGAAUGUGUGAAACAAUUUUAAGAUGAAGUCAAAGAUACUUGAAGCAGAAGCUGUAUCUGAGGAAGCUGUAUAUAAACCCAAUUUAAAGCAAGAUGAGAACUCAGCACAGGCACUGCAGCCACGGAGGUUUCCAGAUAGAAAAAUUGACACCCCUGAGAUCCCAUAACAUUUUGGGGACUCAUCUGGGAUCUGCGGAAGGAGCUUGACUCUUUUCAUUGGCAAUAAAUGGCGCCCCAACAUGGGGACUCAGAGAAGACUCAGGAGCCCCAAGCAGUUGUCCGAAAUCAGAGCUAAGGUACCAGCCAGGGUUAAUUGAAGACUCACCAAGUUCAAGCUUCUCCUUUGGUGGAACUGUCUCCCUGGCUUGAAAUCAUUGCACCAGAAGAGGCACUGGGACACAGAGCUGAGAUUGAAGAACACUUGAAAAUUAUCAAGAAUGUACUGCGGAGUAUUGAAAUUGCAAGUUAUCAUCAAAGGAAGCUUACUCUUAUUUGUGGAAAACAAACACAGAAAAAAGAAGAAGGAAGGAAGGAAGGAAUCAUACCUUCCCUGUUUCAAAUAACAAGCAUCAAGCAUCGUGAUAAUGUGGACACUAAGGAGCAACAAUUUCUCUAAAGAUAAGAAUAAAGAUAGACUUUUAGACUACGAGAUGGGCCUGAAAAAAUAUCUGAUCAAGCUACUCAGUUUUACAGAUGAAGAAGGUGAAGCCUGGGAAAACCUAAAGAACCUAUAUAAGGUUCUCAGAUAGACACCAUGUUAUCUGCUUGAAUGAAGAAAAUUUGGUAACAUGUUUGCUGAUCUUAAUCUACUAUACAUUUUUUUAGCUUGUCAACUUGAACAAGUUUCUCAAUUAUUUCCUCAUCUAUUUUUUCUGAUAAACUUAACCAAAUCUUGUAAAAUGAAUGUUUUGAAAACGUAUAUCUUAAAGGAGCAUUUUCUAAUUUAAUAUUGAUGUUUUAUUAUUUAUUGAAUCAAGGAAGUUAUGCAUAUUUUGCAUAAAUAUGUGCUACCUUAUGUAUGAUAAUAUUUUUCUCCACAGUCACAUAUUAAUCUGUCCUGACAUUUUUCUAUAAUAAACAUCAUUAUCUGAGACAGAAAUGACAGGAAAAAUUUAUCCAUUUUAAUGAUAUCUAAUUAAAAUUUGUGUCUAACCUUAAUUGAAAUAUAUAUAUAUAUUUCAGUUAGUAAAAAAGGAAAGUCAAUUGAUGAUGCAUUAAGUGUCAGCAUUAUUACAUAGAGAUUGGAAGACAUUAGGUACAAAUGUGAAUCUGCAAGAGUACCAUUUGUAUAUUGCUAAUUACUUGAUACUGUGUCUUUUUAAGAAAGCUGUUACUCUUUAUUCACUCUAGAGCAUUUCAGACAAUUAAUUAGGCAUUCAUUAAUAGAUGAUUAAACAUUUUGUCUCUACAUUGCUUGAAAGGAGUUGUAAAUUACAUCUUGCCCAUGUUGCUAAUUUGCUGUCCAGCAAACAGACUUGCCUGUGGAAAUUUUGUAAAUCAAGCUUAUGAUAUAUUGGCCAUAGAUUGUUUGUCUUCCAAUUCCUCUUAGCUGUUGAUAAUGCAAAUCAAGCCACAUGAAUGAUAACCUGAUAGAAGACACUGCUUUGAAAAGCUAUACUCACAUUAAUACAAACUGUUCAGAAUUGUUAUGUGGAACAUUUCUCUCUAUAAUUGAGAAGAUAAACAUGGCAAAUAAUAUGCUGCUUCAUCAAGUUUUGCAUGUGAAUCAUUCCCAAAGUGAACUUUGAAAAGAGCUCCAUAAAUUCCAUCAGAAAACAAUGAAAUAUAAAACAUCACAGUCCUUUACCAUAGCUAAGCCAGCAAAUAAAUAUCAGGUAUAAAAACUCAUAUUGAUAAAAACCAAACUUUACUUAACGUUACAGAAGUCCAAAUGAUUUUAUCAAGAUAAUAUGUGAUUUAAUAUGUGAAUCUAUAAUAAAGAAUUCUGAGGCUGAGUGUGGUGGCUCAUGUCUGUAAUCCCAGCUCUUUGGGAGACCAAGGCGGGUGGAUCGCCUGACAUUAGGAGUUCGAGACCAACCUGGCCAACAUGGCCAGACCCCAUCUCUACUAAGAAUACAAAAAUUAGCCAGGUUUGGUGGCUCAUGCCUGUAAUCCCAGUUACUCAGGAGGCUGAAGCAUGAGAACUGCUGGAACCUGGAGGCUGCAGUAAGCUGAGAUCGUGCCAUUGCACUCCAGCCUGGGUGACAGAGCAAGACUCAGUCUCAGAAAAAAUAAAUAAAUAAAAAUAAAAAAUAAAAAAAUAAAAUAAAAUUAUGGUCACACAAGUUUCUAGAAAACCAACUUAUUUCUGAGAUAGCCCAGAGGUGACAUACACUGACUAACCCACUGAGAGUAUGUUUUAUUCUUUGCUGAACUACUAGAACCUAGACUAGAGCCUCACAUGCAAAAAGCAUUCAGUAAAAAUUGUGUUUACAGAAAAUUACUAUAGGACAAUAAUUAUGUCUUAUAAGUGGGUUUGUUUAAAGGGUUUAUCAUUUAUUCUAAGUCACACAUUUUACUCAGAAAUACUAGCUUUGUCCUGGAAAGUUCAAUUAAAUAGAGAAAAGGAACAAGAACAUACAUUCAAGCCAAAAUAAGCAAAGCUUUGCCUCAAGAAGGGUUGAUGGAAAAAACAGAAAACAGAAAGCACUACAGUUUAAUGAGUUACAGACUGCUCAGCAGAAAAGACAACAUAGACAUAUAAUACAGGUCUUUCUGCUAAUAUAUUCCUUUCUUUGCUUAAAACUAAGUACAGAUAUUACUUUGGAACCCUUUGAAUGUGGGAAAUUAGUUUCCUCCUCAGCAUUGUCCUCUACUACUUUUCGGAGUAUAAUGUGUAUGACAUUCUCUCAGUAAAAUUUUGAUACACUUGAUAGUUGAAGGUUAAAGAAGAGUAGAAAUCAUCUUAACACCUUACUAAUGGGAAAUUUUUUCAUAGGAAUACACAUAAUUUCCAGAAAGUUACCUUUUUAUAGAGGGCAUCAUGCAUAAUAACACCUUUUGGCUCAAAAUAGAAAUUAUUUUUAAGCUUAUACUUUUGCCAUACGUUAGAGCAACUACUGAUUUAGAUUGUUCUGUUUUACUGUUCUAGAAUCAUUCCACACUUGCCUCUUGGCAUCCAUAAUCAGAAAAGUAAAUCAAGAAAUAAACUAUAAACUGAUCAAUGUUUUAUUAUUUUCCUUAUAGCCUUUUAUUUUACCAUGAGGAGUUUCUGUAUGUAAGGCACUUUAGAAUAUGAAUGAUUUUCAUGGCAUACACAUAAGGGACUAUUAAAAACAACUGACAUGUUUUUGGUAAAGUAUUUGACUGUUUAUUCUUCAUGUAACUGAAAAUAUUCAGCAUUGAAAGAGUUUGCAUUUCAUGAUGGCUACAAAGUUGAAAUUUACAUUCUGGUUUCUUAAAGGCAGGAACUACAUUCUGCAAAGGGCAAAUUUCAAAAGACAAAACUUAAUCCUUAUACUAGCAAAAGUUUGAUUAGAUAAGUUCUACAUACUUAGCUGCUUAUAUAAAUACAGGUGGCUGAGGCUGAAAAUGAAUGCCCCAGGAAGAAGUAAAUCAAUUUUACAAAAAUUAUCAAAUGGCAUAAUGAUGGGCACACAAUGCCCUCCACCCACAGCUGUUCUUGCAUUUCUAACAUAAAAGGCAGCACAAGACAGAAGGGAAACACUGACAAAUAGAUUGGUUCUGCCAUUUCCUUAGCAUUAUGUGCCCUGUCACUUUUUGAAUUUCUUAGAUAAGAUGCAAUUUCUCUUUAGUUUUUAAUGCCCUUUUAGAUAUUUUUUGUUACAGGAUUCGUUACCAUGAAUCCAAGGGACUUUAUUUUGGCACUUUGACAGAAAGGAUUGGACUGCUUAAACAAGAACUAAUAAAUAGCUUCCAUUUCCUACAUGAAAAAAGUAAUACAUGUUUAUGCUGUUUCCUGGAUUGCACAUGUAACUGGCAGCAAGAAACACCCUCGGAAUAGUAAUCAUAAAAUAUCCUUGUUUAUUCCAAAGCAUAACUAUAGAAAUGUGUGACAAUCUGAAUUUCUUUUGUAUGCCAAAAUAUGCUGAGAAAGUACUAAUGAAUGCUGUGCCAUUCUAAUUUUGUAUUAAUGAAAUAAUUUAUUAUUUUUUCAGUUUUAAUUAAAAUUGGCUUUGCAUCAAACUGUGCUUAUCACAUUGAUCACAUGAUAAAAAGGGAAUUUUGUCAUUUAUCAAUAAAAAUGAUUAUGUGUAUUAUCUAACCAUUAAUGACACAUUUUAGAGUGUGAAGAUGUUGGCACACAUUUUCAUUAUUUUUUUGUUUCCUGAAAAAAUAAUUUAUUAUUGCCAUGUUUAUGGUUCCAUCCUGUGCAAUUAAUUAUUACAGAACAAAGCAAGACUAACAAAAGUUUUGAUAGUAAUACAAGCAGUCAGAUUGAAAUUUCAGUCUUUUGGCUAUUGACAUAAGUUUCAUAUCAGUAAUAAAUUACUUGAGGUGUCAA